AACGAACGCUGGCGGCAGGCUUAACACAUGCAAGUCGAACGCCCCGCAAGGGGAGUGGCAGACGGGUGAGUAACGCGUGGGAAUCUACCUUUUGCUACGGGAUAGCUCCGGGAAACUGGAAUUAAUACCGUAUGUGCCCUUCGGGGGAAAGAUUUAUCGGCAAAGGAUGAGCCCGCGUUGGAUUAGCUAGUUGGUGGGGUAAAGGCCUACCAAGGCGACGAUCCAUAGCUGGUCUGAGAGGAUGAUCAGCCACAUUGGGACUGAGACACGGCCCAAACUCCUACGGGAGGCAGCAGUGGGGAAUAUUGGACAAUGGGCGCAAGCCUGAUCCAGCCAUGCCGCGUGAGUGAUGAAGGUCUUAGGAUUGUAAAGCUCUUUCACCGGGGACGAUAAUGACGGUACCCGGAGAAGAAGCCCCGGCUAACUUCGUGCCAGCCGCCGCAGUAA
rnacentral:rRNA from 1 species